rnacentral:lncRNA from 10 species
UUUGUCUUUAUAAGAAGAGGAAGAUCGACCAGAGCUCUCUCUCUCUUCUCUAGGCAUGUGCUCUGAGAAAAGGUCAUCUGAGGACAAAGUACCCGUCUGCAAGCCAGGAAGAGAGCCCUUGCCAGAAACUAAACCCCGCUGGAAACUUGAUUUUGCGCUUUCCAGCCUCUAGAACUAAUAUGUGAAAAACAUUUAAAUCAGAAAGUAAAUGACAGGAUGAUUUGCAAGACACAGGGAUGUAAAAUUAAAAAGCCUCUCGAGCUCCAAAGGGGGAUGCAUCAGGACGAUAAUUCCAAGAGUUCAAUGGUGAAUUUCCUUGGCUUCCACUGAGCUACCUGUUAACUUCAACAAGCACACUGGCCUGGAGACUACAUGAUGGUGUAUCAGUAAUGGAUUUACAACUGCAAACAUCUCAAGCAGCAGUGCCACAUCCCUGCUACCUCCCUGCUUGUGCGUGUGUCCCUACAUUAUCCAAAAUAGGGGUGGGCUAAUGACGAUUGCAGGCUAACUCCAGCCUACCACUUGCUUCUAUAAAUAAAGUCUUAUUGUACACAAACAUAGCCAUUUAUUUAA